rnacentral:hammerhead_ribozyme from 1 species
GCACUGCUGAGGAAUCCCACACUAGGACGAAACGGCCGUCCAAUGU